UAAAAAAGUAAUUUAUAAUACAAUAAAUCUUUAAGUAGUAUAAGGUUAUUCUUAAAAUUUAAAAAAUUUGGCGGUAAUUUAAGUCUAUUCAGAGGAAUUUGUUUAUUAAUUGAUAAUCCACAAUAAAUCUUACUUAGUUUAGAAUAAUUUGUAUAUCGUCGUCGUCAGAAUUUCUUUAAAAAGAAAAAAUUUUCUAAAAUUAAAAUUUUUAAUGAUGUCAGAUCAAGGUGCAGUUUAUAAUUAAGUAAAAAUGAAUUACAAUAAAUUUAUUUUUGGUUAUUAAAUUGAAAUAUUUAAUUUAAAUUGGAUUUGAGGGUAAAUUAAUUUAAGGUAUAUUAAUUGAUUUUAGUUCUAAAUUAUGU
rnacentral:rRNA from 1 species